rnacentral:rRNA from 1 species
AGAGAAAGCUGGCGGUAGGCCUAACACAUGCAAGUCGAACGGCAGCACAGUAAGAGCUUGCUCUUACGGGUGGCGAGUGGCGGACGGGUGAGGAAUACAUCGGAAUCUACUUUUUCGUGGGGGAUAACGUAGGGAAACUUACGCUAAUACCGCAUAUGACCUACGGGUGAAAGCAGGGGAUCUUCGGACCUUGCGCGAUUGAAUGAGCCGAUGUCGGAUUAGCUAGUUGGCGGGGUAAAGGCCCACCAAGGCGACGAUCCGUAGCUGGUCUGAGAGGAUGAUCAGCCACACUGGAACUGAGACACGGUCCAGACUCCUACGGGAGGCAGCAGUGGGGAAUAUUGGACAAUGGGCGCAAGCCUGAUCCAGCCAUGCCGCGUGGGUGAAGAAGGCCUUCGGGUUGUAAAGCCCUUUUGUUGGGAAAGAAAAGCAGCAGGCUAAUACCCCGCUGUUCUGACGGUACCCAAAGAAUAAGCACCGGCUAACUUCGUG